CCUACGGGAGGCAGCAGUGAGGAAUAUUGGUCAAUGGGCGCGAGCCUGAACCAGCCAAGUCGCGUGAGGGAGGACGGCCCUACGGGUUGUAAACCUCUUUUGCCGGGGAGCAACGGGCGUCACGUGUGGCGCCACUGAGAGGACCCGGAGAAAAAGCAUCGGCCAACUCCGGGCCAGCAGCCGCGGGAAUACGGGGGAUGCGAGCGUGAGCCGGAUUUAUUGGGUUUAAAGGGUGCGUCGGCGUAUCUGUAAGUCAGUGGUCAAAUUGAGGGGCUCAACCCCUUCCCGCCAUUGAAACUGGCGCUCUUGAGUGGAAGAGAAGUAUGCGGAAUGCGUGGUGUAGCAGUGAAAUGCAUAGAUAUCACGCAGAACCCCGAUUGCGAAGGCAGCAUGCCGGCUUCCGACUGACGCUGAAGCACGAAAGCGUGGGGAUCGAACAGGAUUAGAUACCCGUGUAGUG
rnacentral:rRNA from 1 species